CUAGUCGGUGAGCCUGGGAAAACCGACUGAGUUCGUUGUGAGCUCGUAAAACAACAAGUUUGGUUGUGAGCUUGCAAAACAACCAGCUGUAAUCCAAGGGGGUUAUAGUGAAUUCCCAAGAGAGACUUGGGGAGUGGACGUAGGAGCAAGGGCUAGCUCCGAACCACUAUAAAACUCUGUGUUUGCAUUGGAUUGUCUCUUCUCUUCUUCCUCUCACAUCACUCACAGCACUUAGCAUUAAUUAAAUAACUUGCAAUAGUUUUUAAUUAAUCAUCCUUAAAGUUUUAAAUAUCUAA
rnacentral:lncRNA from 1 species